UCGGAUGUGGUGCACGGUGCACCGCGGGGCUUCUGUCUGCUUCUUCCCUUUCUAGCCCGCAAUCCGGGGUUCGACUCCCCGCAUCCGAA